GUCGGAAUUGCUAGUAAUCGCGGACCAGCAUGCCGCGGUGAAUACGUUCCCGGGCCUUGUACACACCGCCCGUCACACCAUGGGAGCCGGUAAUACCCGAAGUCAGUAGUCCAACCUCGUGAGGACGCUGCCGAAGGUAGGAUUGGCGACUGGGGUGAAGUCGUAACAAGGUACC
rnacentral:rRNA from 1 species